UGGAAGUAAAAGUCGUAACAAGGUCUCCGUUGGUGAACCAGCGGAGGGAUCAUUACCGAGUUUACAACUCCCAAACCCCUGUGAACAUACCACUUGUUGCCUCGGCGGAUCAGCCCGCUCCCGGUAAAACGGGACGGCCCGCCAGAGGACCCCUAAACUCUGUUUCUAUAUGUAACUUCUGAGUAAAACCAUAAAUAAAUCAAAACUUUCAACAACGGAUCUCUUGGUUCUGGCAUCGAUGAAGAACGCAGCAAAAUGCGAUAAGUAAUGUGAAUUGCAGAAUUCAGUGAAUCAUCGAAUCUUUGAACGCACAUUGCGCCCGCCAGUAUUCUGGCGGGCAUGCCUGUUCGAGCGUCAUUUCAACCCUCAAGCACAGCUUGGUGUUGGGACUCGCGUUAAUUCGCGUUCCCCAAAUUGAUUGGCGGUCACGUCGAGCUUCCAUAGCGUAGUAGUAAAACCCUCGUUACUGGUAAUCGUCGCGGCCACGCCGUUAAACCCCAACUUCUGAAUGUUGACC
rnacentral:rRNA from 1 species